rnacentral:lncRNA from 1 species
UGCACCAGAACUAAUUUAUUUGGUAGUUUCUGAUUAGGUCUAACCAGAUUUGAUUGUCAUCUUUUUGUAUCACUAGGAGUUGCUAACCUGUCUGUAUUAUGUUUUGUCCUCAAAUUUUGGCUUCUCUCCUUACUAAUGUAAUUUUUCUAAAACUGCUUCUCUGGUUGCUUCUUGCCAGCAAAUUGUGCCACCUGUGCUUCAUUCAUUCUCUGACCAAGAUAGUAG